UACGGAGGGGGCUAGCGUUGCUCGGAAUUACUGGGCGUAAAGCGCACGUAGGCGGCGAUGCGAGUCAGGCGUGAAAGGCCUGGGCUUAACCCAGGAACUGCGCUUGAUACUGUAUUGCUCGAGUCCGAGAGAGGGUAGUGGAAUUCCCAGUGUAGAGGUGAAAUUCGUAGAUAUUGGGAAGAACACCAGUGGCGAAGGCGGCUACCUGGCUCGGUACUGACGCUGAGGUGCGAAAGCUAGGGGAGCAAACAGG
rnacentral:misc_RNA from 1 species